GCGUUAAUCGGAAUUACUGGGCGUAAAGCGCACGCAGGCGGUCUGUCAAGUCGGAUGUGAAAUCCCCGGGCUCAACCUGGGAACUGCAUUCGAAACUGGCAGGCUUGAGUCUUGUAGAGGGGGGUAGAAUUCCAGGUGUAGCGGUGAAAUGCGUAGAGAUCUGGAGGAAUACCGGUGGCGAAGGCGGCCCCCUGGACAAAGACUGACGCUCAGGUGCGAAAGCGUGGGGAGCAAACAGGAUUAGAUACCCUGGUAGUCCACGCCGUAAACGAUGUCUACUUGGAGGUUGUGCCCUUGAGGCGUGGCUUCCGGAGCUAACGCGUUAAGUAGACCGCCUGGGGAGUACGGCCGCAAGGUUAAAACUCAAAUGAAUUGACGGGGGCCCGCACAAGCGGUGGAGCAUGUGGUUUAAUUCGAUGCAACGCGAAGAACCUUAC
rnacentral:rRNA from 1 species